GGAAGGAUCAUUAACACUAAUCCAAUUUACUAAACCUAGCCUUCAGUUGCUGGAUUGUGCAAGCUAGCGAAAGCGGGCCUGUUACUCUACAGCAUCUCUAAAACUAAUCAAACAAAGGAGUCUAACUAAGCUCUAUCACAAAAACCAAAUUCUCAACGAUGGAUAUCUUGGUUCCCAUAACGAUGAAGAACGCAGCGAAGUGCGAUAAGCAAUGCGAAUUGCAGAACCGUGAGUCAUCAGAUUUUUGAACGCAACUGGCGGUAACUGGAAUCCCAGUUACCAUGCUUGUUUCAGUGUCUCAUUAUCUCAUCACCCAAAUCUUAAUGCGAGAGAUACCCUUCUCUUGCUAAGUUGGAAAGCACUCUGCGCUCCGCAGGCGGCUUCGGUCGCACUCAAUGCAGCAGUCACAUUGUUUACAGUGUGAACUCAUUGAGAGUGGAGGCAGUGCAGAUUUUCUGUUAGUGCUUAGAGAUUCAAACUCUACUUUCAUCUGAAAUCAAGCAGGAUCACCCGCUGAACUUAAGCAUAUCACUAAGCGGAGGAAAAGAAAUUAACUAAGAUUGCCUCAGUAACGGCGAGUGAAGCGGCAAAAGCCCAAACUGGAAAUCUUCAUGCUCAGCAUGACGAAUUGUAAUCUAAAGGUGGGAAACUCACCUAGGAGAGGCGCAGAAGUUGCUUAGAACAGCACGCCAAAGAGGGUGACAGCCCCGUAUGUGGUGCCUCUUCUUAACGAGUUCCUUUCUAAGAGUCGGGUUGUUUUGAAUUGCAGCCCUAAGCUGGAGAUAGACUUCUUCUAAGGCUAAAUAUAUAUGGGAAACCGAUAGCGAACAAGUACUGUGAAGGAAAGAUGAAAAGAACUUUGAAAAGAGAGUCAAAAGACUUGAAAUUGUUGAGAAGGAAGGAGUAGAAAUUUAUUCUUCAGUCUGGUUUAAAGUAUGUCGUCAAACCAUUGGGGCGUGCCAGCACUUCAUAGGCUGCUAGCUUCACUUGGGGAAGCGAUUUAUGGAAACCAGAUUGUGAGCCAAAAUGAGGUUUUACAUCCACAAAAGCUUGAUUGAUGCUCGCAUCGAUUUCUGCUGGUGGGCGUAUUGCCUGAGGAGCCUUGUGCGAUUUUGGCAAAAUGGUUUUUACUCACCCGUCUUGAAACACGGACCAAGGAGUUUAACAAAUAUGCAAGUGUGCUGGUGGAAAAACCAACACGCGGAAUGAAAGUAAUUGAUGCCAAGCGCAAGCAGCAGCAUCGACCGACCAUGAUCCUCUGGUGAAAGGUUUGAGUAUGAGCAUAUCUGUUAAGACCCGAAAGAUGGUGAACUAUGCCUGAGUAGGGUGAAGCCAGGGGAAACUCUGGUGGAGGCUCGUAGCGGUUCUGACGUGCAAAUCGAUCGUCAAACUUGGGUAUAGGGGCGAAAGACUAAUCGAACCAUCUAGUAGCUGGUUCCCUC
rnacentral:misc_RNA from 1 species